ensembl:lncRNA
CAGAGAUGUCAGGUAGAGAAGGAGGAGGAGGAGGAGGAGGAGGAGGAAGAGGGCCAGCAAUCUCUGGGAGAGGAGGAGGAGGGCCAGCAAUGUCUUAGAGGAGGAGGAGGGCCAGUGAUGCCUGGUAGAUGAGGAGGAGGAGGGCCAGCAUUGUAUGGUUGAGGAGGCGGAGGAGGGCCAGCGAUGUCUGGUAGAGGAGGAGGAGGAGGGUCAGUGAUGUCUGGUAGAGGAGAAGGAGGAGGAGUGUCAGCAAUAUCUGGUAGAAGAGGAGGAGGAGGUUUAGCGAUGUCUGGUAGAGGAGGAGGAGGAGGAGGAGGAUUAAGAGGUGGAGGAGCAGGAGGAGAAGGGCCAUCGAUGUCUGGUAGAGGAGGAUGAGCAGGAUGAGGAAGACAAGGAGAGGCAAGUGUGUCUGGUGGAGGUGGAGGAGAAAGUGGAGGAGGAGGAGGAAGAGAGGCAGCGAUGUCUAGUAGAGGAAGCAGAGGAGGAGGAGGAGCAGGAGGAGGAGCAGGAGGAAGGCCAGCGAUGUCUGUUGGAGGUGGAGGAGGAGGAGGAGAAGUUACUUUGUAUGACUUCUGGCUUUCAGAAUUUUCUGAGCCUGAGCCUAACCUGUGGGUCUGACUGAGAGAAUGUUUUAUAUAAAAUUGAGGAAAAUCCAUAUUGUUUGCCUCCUGAGUGGUGUACAUUAGAUAUCUCUGAGGUCUAAUCGCUUUAGUGUUUUAUUCCAGUUCUUUAUUUUCUGUUGGGUUGUGUUUGUGUGUGUGUGUGUGUGUGUGUGUUUUGGUACCAGGGAUCGAACUUGGGUCCUUGUGCUUGCGAGGCAGGCGGUCAAACCACUGUGCUAAAUCCCUAGCCCAGUUCUUUAUUUUCUUAUUGCUCUUCUUUCUGGUUGAAAUAUUCAUUCUGAGUUUUCAGUAUAGAAUUCUCCUAAUAUAAUUAAUUGUGUGUUCUUCAAUAUUGUCAAGUUUUUCUUCAUGUAAUUGGAAGCUUUAUGGUUGGAUGCAGAUUUGCUUAUGAUUGCUGUAUCUCUUGAUGAGUUCUCCCUACACACAUGCACUUUAUCUGUGGUAUUGGGAUUGAAAUCAUGGUCAUUGGACUGCUAGGUAAGUGCUGCAUUCUAUUAUUAUAACUUAGGAUCCUCCUGCCUUCACCCCCUAAAGUGGCUGGGAUUGCAGGUGUGUACUGCCAUGCCUGGCAGAUAGCCCCCCUUUUAAAUAUGAUAUCCUUUUUUGUCUCUUGUAACAGUUUUUGGCUUAAAAUUCUUGCCAUCUAUCUCUGGGUACUGGUUGUAUGGAGUAUGCUUUCUGUCCUUUCACUUUCAACCUAUUUGUGUUUUAGGCUCUGAACUGCAUGCCUUGGUGACAGUAUAGAGUCAGGUCAUGUUACUGUUCUCCAAUCUCUGCCUUUGAAUUGGAAAUUUUAUUCCAUUGACAUUUAUUUACACUGACCUUUGUCUCUCACAUGUUUUAUGUCUUUAUUGUUUUUCCUCAUUUCUUCCAUUAUUGUCUCAUGUUUUUUAUUUUGUUUUGGUAGUGUAUCAGUUUGGUUCCCUCCUCAAUUCCUUUUCUGAAUGUUUAGAAAUGUGUAUUGGUUAACAUAUUAGUUUUCUUCUAAUAUAGCAAAUGUGUAAGAUAAUUGUGUUAUAAAGAGAAAUGACAUACAUCAGUUCAUAGUUUACAAGGUUCCAGUCCAGGGCUGAUUACCCCAUGUUGUCCUCACUGCUUUGUGCCUUUGGCAAGUGGCACAUCAUGGUGGGUGUAUGUGGCAGAGAAAAACCACUUGCCUCAUGGAAACAAGUCAAAGUGGAAGAGAAAAGGGAAGUGGCAGCACACUCCAGGUCCGGUUCGGGGAUUUGCCUCUGUGACCAAAGUACCCCUCACUAGGCCACACCUCUUAAAGGUUCCAGCCCCUCGCAGGGGCACCACCCUGGGGGUGACCUUUAGUACAUGGGCCUUUGUGGGGCCUCCAACAUGCAAACUUUAGCACUUAGUCUGGAGGUGCCAAUUAAAUCUGAACUAUGCAACAAUUUAGUUUAAAUUAAUACAAAAUAAGGUGUGAUCCUUGGCAUAGAAAAUUUGAAUCUGAGUGUUUUGUUUUGGUUGCCAGCUUGGUGGUGGUGGGGGGAACUAUGGUCUACUUCUGUGAUGGAUCUUUGCAACAUGUGAGCAAGGAAUGCCCAAGCACAGGAAAUAAAAAGAGCAGGUCCAGGCAUGUAGUGGAAGCAUUGGCUUCUGGUGAGUGGCUUUGGGCAUUAUUUGCCCUGUGGCCAAGUCGCCCCUGCUUCUGGCUUCUUGUGGUCUUUUCCUCUGUGUUGCACCACCUGCAACCUCUUCUAAGCAUCCUUACUGCUGGGUUUGGGGCUCACUUGGGUAACCCUGGAUCUCAUCAUGAGAUUCUUAACUGAAUUAUACCUGCAAAGACCCUUUUUCCAAAUCAGUUAUAUUCAUGAGCUCUGGGGGUUAGGAUGUGGACAUAAUAUGUGGGCCACUACUGAACUCACCAUGGGGAGUCAGAGAGAAUGGAUUCUGUAGCUUUCACCAAGUGGGUACACUUGGCCUUAGAAGUUCAGGAACUACCAGAACCUACAGAAUCUGGAGGACAUUCCAGAUACACCUGCCUGCAGUGAGAUUUUCCCUUUCGUGUCAUUAUAGCACUUUAAAUCUAGAAAGGACCUCAUAGAGAAGCAUCACAUACUACUUAAGAUGUAAUGGUAGUCAUAGUAACCACAGCAGGAGGAGCCAACAUAUACUUAGCACCGAUUGGACACCUGGCCAUGUUCAUAUAUAUUUCAUAUAUAUUCAUUCAUGAUGUCCACCCAGCAAAGCCAACAGGAGGGUGUUAUCAUUACCAUAUUUUAUAGAAAAGAAAACGGGCACAGAAAGGUUGGAUGACUUGUUCAAGGUUGCACAGCAAGGGAGUGGCAAGGCUGGGAUCAGAACCUCAUCCAUCUAGCUCCAGAAUCUGCACUCCUAACAGCUGCACAGGCAGCAGAGAGGAGCCUUCUGAGUUUUCCCAGAAUACAUCUCAGCACAGCCCCUUUCCCCAGGCCCAGAAGUGAGACUCCCUUCAUCCUGAACAUGUGGACUGGCCAGACUAGAGGGAUUCCCCCCAAACCUUCUCCACUCUAGGGUUACUGAUUUUCAUGGCAGGGAGGAAAGGCAGGAGCUUGUCUUCCAAAUUCAUAAAGGACCUUGAAGAUACUAGGACCAGGGUGGAAGCAUCUGAUUGGCCCAUUUUGGGUCAAUCAUGCUGAGAUGAAUCAGCAUUGACUUUGUGCCUAGUUCUGUGCUGGACAGAAGGUGGGAAAGGAGAGGCAUUGAGGAUACUGUCCCUCUUGAGUUUGCCAUCUUGGGAGAGAUGAGAUUUCUGAACUUGAAAUUAUCAGCUGUUUGUGUUCACUAGUGGCAGUUGAGGCUAUACUGCUAUAUAGCACAGUGCAGGCAGGCAUGGAAAUUCCAAUGGGGCCUGGACAUUUUAGCUUGGGGGUUUGUGAAAGGAAGCAAACCCAUUUAACAGAUGGGAAUACUGAGGCCAGAAGGCAUAGGUGCCUGAACUGCAGGGUGUGGGCUCCCAGACCUGGGUUCAAAGCAAACUUUGCUGAGCUUCUGUGUCCUCUUCCUGUGGGUUACAAGGAGGGAGUGAUGUGAUCACUGAGUGAAAUAAAGACAAGGAAGGUGAUUAUUUAGGCUGGGCUCCCCAGAAGCAGGGUCCAGAUGAAAACCUGGGGAUGUGUACUUUAUUUGGGAGAGGCCCUCAGUGGGCCUUGGAAGAGGUUGGGGGAGCCAGGCGGGAUGCCUGGGACCUGCUUUCCAGUGUCCGUGCUCACCCUUGUAGCCUCUUUGCAAGUCCGCACAGCAGAGAGAAUGGGAGCCCCCUGGCCUGGCAGUCUGUCACCAGAGAAGGAAAGGAACACGGGGUAAUUCCCUUCUCUCCUGGGAUGAGGUCCGGGGGCAUCCCCUCUGAUGUGGGCUCAGGACUUACCCUGUCCUAUGUCGUUGUCCUACAAGCCUAUGAUGAUAAAAGAGAAAGUCACAUUUAUGAAUAUUUUAUUAACACAUGAUUAUGGCAAUAAUUUCUCCCCCUUCCCCCUUCUAAAUUAUUUUAAGAAGAACAGCUGUUGGUCUGCCUGGAGGCCCUGCCCAAUGAUCUAUCCACUCUAUAUUCUGCUUUGGAAGGUUUCAUGAUAGAUUGUUCCAAAGUCAGCUAUUAAGAAUUUCACAGUUGGGCUGGGGAUUUAGCUCAGUGGUGCUGCUGCCUGCCUCGAAAGUACAAGGUCCUGAGUUCGAUCCCUGGUACCAGAAAAAAAAAAAAAAGGAAUUUCACAGUCGCAUAUAAAUCUCUUUGCUUUGUGUCAUAACGGAUCAUUUUGAAUUAUAUUAAGAAUCAUCUUCAUUAAUCAAGGCUUUUUUUCAUGAAGAUAGUACUCUCUUCCCAGUGUGCUUGGCUUCCUUAACUGAGUCUGAAAGCACUGGUCCUAUUCUACAAAACCGGUAUCAUCCCUGUGGGGAGAUGUGGGGCCAUAGAACCACACUCAGGGUUUUUGAACCCAUAAAGAAAUAACAGCCACUGCUAGUGUGUGUUUAGUGUUUGAUGGUUUCAGAAGCACUUACACCUCAGUGAUGUCUGUGAUCUGAUCAGACUCAGGCAAUAAUCCAGUGAGAAAAACUGCCUCCCACUAGCUGGGGGCCGGUCUGAGCCUGUUUCCUCCUCUGCACAAUGGGGCUCCUGCUAGUGUGAUAGUCAACCUGACUCCAUCUUGUGCCUCAAUGCCAUUUUGUACCUGUGCUUGAACAAAGUGAUUGCAUGUGAACAAAGCACCCAAAACCCCCACAUCCUGCUUGGCAGUAAACUUGCUACAGUUGCAGCAUGUUUUGUAGCUCACCUAGUGUGUGUGAAACUUCCUUGAAGCCCCUGCUAACCUGGCAUGAUUCUGCUUCUGUAAGAUUCUGCUUGCUCUCCCCUGAGCCCUCCCCAACUGAAAGCAUGAUUUAAAAGGUGAAAUCAAACUGCUUCCCAUUGCCAAGGAAACUUUCUGGGCGCUAGCCCUCCUCGGCCACUGGCUAUAAUAAAUGGGCUUGAAUCUGGCACAGAGUGUGGCACAUCUCUAUCGUCUGGACUCGCUCAUCCACAACACCUGGAGGCCCCAGCAAGAUGGGCACAGUGGGUGGACUGGCCUCGCUGUGAUCCCUCCCAUCUCAGCAAACCAUAGGGGAGGUGCCCCCUGAGAUGUUCCAGGGCCCCGUAGUCUCACUGCUGACACUGAAGGGAUUGCAGACAACUGAGACACCCCUCAAAUUUUCUGGAGCUCAUCUGGUCUGGUAAGGAUCCUUCUGGUUCUGGUGGAGAACAGUAGUCCUUGAUGAAGGCAUUCCCUGGUCCCCUCCGUAAGGUCAGGACCCUGACUGAGGUGGCCCCCUGGUCUGGUCUGGUCUGGGUAUAAGCCAGCCAAUCUAGUAAAUCCCUGGGAAUAGGGUUGGGAUGUCUUUACCCUCUGAAUGAUUGCUGUAUGAGUGAAGGAAUGAAUGAUUGGCAACAGGCAGUACAAACAAUGGACUGUUCCAUCUGUGUCCCACAGCAAAGUGGGGGAUUCCCCCCUCAGUUUCAGGACUUGUUUAGGGUCAUACUGUGGUUCUGUGGACGUGUCUAAGAAAGGCCAAGUGGGUGCUCUUGCAAUGAGAUAAAUACACCCUAAAGCCUGGGCGGUCCUUAAAGUGGCUGAGAGGCCCUCAGCCAGUUGACUGAGGGGUUCCUCCCACAGAGGAACACCCCCUCCCUUGUCUGUCACAACAUCAUUCAAGGGUGCACCACAUAAACACUAAGCCCUCUUUCUUUAUGUCUGGACG